rnacentral:rRNA from 1 species
CCAAUAGCGUAUAUUAAAGUUGUUGCAGUUAAAAAGCUCGUAGUUGAAUUUCGGGGUUAGUAGGUUGGUCGUGCCUAUGGUAUGCACUGGCUUUACUGAUUCCUCCUUCUUGAAGAACUGUAAUGUCAUUAAUUUGGUGUUGCAGGGAAACAGGACUGUUACUUUGAAAAAAUUAGGGUGUUUAAAGCAGGCUAACGCUUGAAUACAUUAGCAUGGAAUAAUGAAAUAGGACGUUCGAUCCUAUUUUGUUGGUUUCUAGGAUUGACGUAAUGAUUAAUAGGGAUAGUUGGGGGCAUUAGUAUUCAAUUGUCAGAGGUGAAAUUCUUGGAUUUAUUGAAGACUAACUACUGCGAAAGCAUUUGCCAAGGAUGUUUUCAUUAAUCAAGAACGAAAGUUAGGGGAUCGAAGACGAUCAGAUACCGUCGUAGUCUUAACCAUAAACUAUGCCGACUAGGGAUCGGAUGAUGUUAAUUUUUUAAUGACUCAUUCGGCGCCUUACG